AGAGCAGCAGAUGACUGGUGCUUGCUUCUCUGGGAACCUCAGCCAGCUCUCCUGAUGCCAGGAGUCAGUUCAGCUGUGCAAAGGUGCAAGUUAAUGCCAGCUUACCUCAUCCCUAAGGAUGCUGAAACAACUGAUAAAAGCUGAUCCCUCCUAGUCCUACUCUUCUCAUUUGUCUAUGCAUUUAGGUGGGAAGAGACCAGUGUCCUUGUGGGUCCUGGCUGACAGCAAUGGCUCCCAUCAGAAGCAGAUGGGUGCCAUGAAGAUGCCACUGUGUUAAUCACGGUGUUUAAAGUGGAAGGCUGCAUCUUGCCUGUGUCAGCAUAAGUGAAUGAAUUUGCAGGGCUACCCAAGACCUUGUAUGACAACAGUCCCAGGUGUCUACAGCUCCUUAGCAGUUUCUGGAUCUCAGGCAGGUUAAUCAGGAAGGUGGAAGGUGGGAGAAAUGCUGCAAAGAGCCUCCAGCUUCAUCACAGACCUUGAACCCAUGAGGAGCAGCCUGCAGCAGGAAGCCUCUGACUGGACAUCAACUGAUGCUUCGGUUUGAGGAGGGAAGUCCACAAAAGGUCAAAUCUUUCUGCACUGAUCCUCCAGUUGCCUCAGGUGGGAAUGCUCUGGAGCUUGUGUGAGCUCCUUGCACCGUAACAACCUGUAGUGUUUGAACUGGUGAAAUGAGUCCUGGAGCCAUGCUGACUGAGAUCUCCUUUGCCAAGGAGAAGGUGCCUGAAGUCCAAGAGGGAAGCAGGCUGGGAAGAUGUCCAACUCUCUGCAUGCAGCAGUUACGCAAGUAUCACAAAAAGAAAUGCUCUCUCCUGAAAUGGUAGUUACUCAGCUUUAACUUUGUGGCCACGAAGGUUUGAGAUGUUGAUAUACUUAAAUGUGAUGCUAAAAACGCAUCAGCCUGGCUACAGGGUUGUGUUUUUUCUGGUAUUUGAUCAAGGUGCCUAGGUAGAACAUGGGGAAAUUGGUUGAUGGCAGGAUUGUUGCUUACCACUCAAAGCAGAGCAGUCUGCUCCGUGCUGGUGUGGAGGAUGUAAGCCUUGCUGCCUUCUACUCCAUGAAAACAGCUUUCAGUUACCCUGAAGGCUAAAGCAUUAGUGGUGGGAGAGGGAAGAGUUGAAUGUCAUGGAAACCUCUCUUCCUCACUGAGGAAGCGCAGUGGUGUUAUAUUUAUUUUACUCAUAGGUGCUUGCAGUGGGUCAUCUCAUAGCAGUGACUAAAGAUUUUGUUGCAGUUUUGGGAGAGGAAUCUAGUCCUAAAGACACACACACUUUUUUCUUUUCUUGUCUUUUUUUUUUUCCUCCCCUCUUGGGGUGCUCUCUAGUUUGUGAGGGAGCUGAAAUGUAGGUGAUGGAUUCUAUCAGAUGGAGUGUGGGGAAUGUUCCUGAUCUGAAUAUGAAUUAGUGAUCUUGCCCUACUGUUGUGGAACUAGGGGAUUGGAGGAGUGCAGGAGUCUCUUGACUCUCAGCAUGACUGGGAGCCCCAGAUAAACCUCGUUGGUCUGUGAUGUUGGCACACAGGUGUUGGGGGCCUGUGUGUCCCUAUAGCAUGGAGGGACUGCCUGUUAAGUGCAGCACUUAGGUGGCAGCGCCAUGGUUAAGAGUCUCUUUAUUUCAAGGUUUCAGCUUUGCUCAGAGUGUGGCAAUGAUGUCUUUCUGGUAUGGUGAUGCUCAUGGUGCACGAUCAGUGCAGUUUAAGAUGUGAAGGUGUGAAGUGAGGCCCGUGACAGCUUGAAGGAUUGUGUGGAGCUCUGUCAGCCAGAUCCUGAGCACAAACAAAAAAAUGCUGUUGACAGACAACUUUCAUGAAUUGCUUUGUUGAGUGCUAGCUUCAUUUUAUAGCACAUUGUCACAUGCCAGUGCUGAUUCUUGUGGCGUAACUUGCUGGCACAGUAUGGUGUGCUGGUAUGUUGGUGGCUUGGUUAGUUCAGAGACCUGCUAGCUCAACGUGUUGGUCGUGAAGCUCUACUUCUUUGAAUGCCAUCUCUCCGAUAAGUAAGCAGCCCCCCUACACCCCUUAAUUUGGGGUGCUCUCUAGUUUGUGAGGGAGCUGAAAUGUAGGUGAUGGAUUCUAUCAGAUGGAGUGUGGGGAAUGUUCCUGAUCUGAAUAUGAAUUAGUGAUCUUACCCUACUGUUGUGGAACUAGGGGAUCGGAGGAGUGCAGGAGUCUCUUGACUCUCAGCAUGACUGGGAGCCCCAGAUAAACCUCGUUGGUCUGUGCUGUUGGCACACAGGUGUUGGUGGCUUGUGUGUCCCUAUAGCAUGGAGGAACUGCCUGUUAAGUGCAGCACUUAGGUGGCAGAGCCAUGGUUAAGAGUCUCUUUAUUUCAAGGUUUCAGCUUUUCAAAACACAAAAGGCUAUACUUGAAAUUCAGUUCUUCAUGCUGAUCCUGGGCGUUUUCCAUAACCUUGAAAUCUGGCUCUCUCCUUAGCUUUCCCUGCUCCCUCUGUGCCUGUAUGGAGCUGCUCACCAAUCCCUGCCACACAUCAGUGCCAGCAUGUGCCGUGGGGCUGGCGCUGCCGGGGUCAGCAGGGAGCAUCACAGCCAGCGCAGGCACUCCUCACCUCCUGCAGCCACAACAGCAACGAAGCCUUAAGAUUUAAGGUACUAUUUGAUAUUUUGUGUAUGCCGAUAAUUUAUGUAUGACUCAAACACUCCCAUGUGGGUUUUUAGCAGCAAUGCUUUAGGCUGUUUCCCCUUGUAUAAUGAGCAUUUCUGUCCUACUCACCCCUCUCCAUGGCCUUGGACAUUGGCUUAUUCAUUUUGCUUUACGCCUCACAGUGCCUGUUUUUUCUAACAGCAACCAUAUCACCUCUGUGGUUCGCUGGUUCCGCCUGUAGGCCCUGGUUGCCUGAAGAGGUGAAAAACUGAAGUUAAUGUGUAUGGGCAGAGAAGAGGCAUCUGCCCUUAUCUCCCUGUUGAGUCACCAUUCCUGCAGGUGUUUAAAAGAUGCAUAGAUGAGGUUCUUAGGGACAUGGUUUAAAGGCAGACUGGGCGGUGGUAACAGUUGGACUCGAUCCUUUCUCAACCAAAAUGAGUCUAUCACAGCAAGGGUGCGUGGCUCAUCACUGAGCCCCGGGCUACAAGUAAAGGAAGAGCUGGACAGAGAGACUGCAAAUCCCAAAUGCCCUAGUUGGUGCAGGUGGGCUCAUGGCUGAGCGUCCCACACCCCAAUGCCCUCUUCCUUGCCUUUCCCUGUCUCUGAAUUUGUUACCUCCAAAGUGUUUCUCCAGCACCUGCAGCCGCGGCACCCACAAGACACAGACCCCAAAGCCAUUCCCAGGUUUCUGCAGCACCUCAGGGGUUCUCAGCCCAUAACAGCUUUGGCAGUGGCAAGGCUUUGGAGUUGUUCGAUAUCGGCUUUGAAAAUGUGUAAAAUGAAAUGUGUGGGGAGCCAUAACACUUAGGGAGAGCCCAGCUGCUAGAAGGAACCAGCAGCAUCUCCAUGCCCUGGCACAGCUGGACAUGCACAACCACCCACAUUCCCUGUAGCUGCCCCCUCCCCUGCACACCCCACCUGCUCCCUCCCCACACCCCUCUUUCCAUGACUGAAAUCCCUGCCACCCCCUCACAUACCACAUGCCUUGUCAUUUCCAUCUGACAGCAAGAAUUUUAGCAGUGUUUCUUGCUCUGUUCUGUAUUUUAAAGCAAGCAGCCAUCUCUCCUUCCCUUUAUCUUCUAACUCUCCCCUAAUAAAUAUGAUUACUUCAUCCUGCGAGACCUGAAAACCCAUUUCCAAAAUUCCCCUGGCAACUAAUACAGUAAAAUAAGCCUAUAAAUAUAAAUAAUUGUGAUAAAAAGGCAUAAAAUGCCCG